rnacentral:rRNA from 1 species
GACGAACGCUGGCGGCGUGCUUAACACAUGCGAGUCGAACGGAAAGGCCCUGCUUUUGUGGGGUGCUCGAGUGGCGAACGGGUGAGUAACACGUGAGUAACCUGACCUUGCCUUUGGGAUAACUUCAGGAAACUGGGGCUAAUACAGGAUAGGAGAUCCUGCUGCAUGGUGGGGGUUGGAAAGUUUCGGCGGUUGGGGAUGGACUCGCGGCUUAUCAGCUUGUUGGUGGGGUAGUGGCCUACCAGGGCUUUGACGGGUAGCCGGGCUGAGAGGGUGGACGGUCACACGGGGCCUGGGACGCGGCCUGGACUCCUACGGGCGGCAGCCGUGGGGAAUAUGGCACAAUGGGCGCCAGCCUGCUGCGGCGCCGACGCGUGAGGGAUGGAGGCCUUCGGGUUGUGAACCUCUUUCGCCAGUGAAGCAGGCCUGCCUGGUGUGUGGGUGGGUUGACGGUAGCUGGAUAAGAAGCGCCGGCUAACUACGCG